UUAUCUUUAUUACAUUAACCUUUUCCUUUGUUUGAGCCAGAAUUCCCCUUGAGGGGAAGAAAAAUGAUGCUGACACAACUUACUAUUGCAAAGGAAUCAUAUGGUCUAUUUCCCAAGCAUUUCAUUUGGCCACAACCUGUUUAACUUACAGAAGUUACUGAAAAAAAAAAAAAGACAGCAAGUUCUAUAGAGGUGGUCAGUAAUUCAGUAAUUUUAAAACAGUGAGGGAUAUUGACUGCCAUUAUUAUCUUUUGAAAAUGCUGCAGAGGAAAUGUGGGCUGGAAAAGAAGACUGAGAAAAGAUGGGCUUCAUACUGCAGAAGCACAAAUAAAGAAAAUUUAACACUUGGUACUUUUCCUAACAGACAGAUCUGAAAUUUGGGAUAGGAAUUGGAAUUGAUGAACCUGCCUAAACCUGAGCCAUCUGCUUACCUGAGUGACAGAACACACUGCUGCAAAAAAGCCAGAGCAGCAGUGGGUGCCUCUCUCCAAACCAAGGCUGGAGCCAACCUGUUCCUGAACCACAGCAGGAGACCGGGGAUGUGGGAUGGAGAGCAGGCCUGCUCCUGGACUCUGCUUUUCAACAGGCAGGCGUAGAGGGACUUCAGGUAAAUAAAUGGGGGUGGGGUGGGCUUCCUCACAGAGAUGGAGAAAUGGAUGAGGAUUUAAGGGUGAUCAUUUUCUUGUAGCAUGUACAAAUAUCGUCUGCUCUAUCAGUGAGAUUAAAUUAUUUGCCUCUCAAAGUCUUCUGCAUAGCUGGAAUACUUAUUACUCAUUCUUCUCGAUAGAAAUCUAGCACUGUGGUUUUGAUGACAGUGAGAUCUAUACUGAUCUCUCAUGCUUUCAGCUGGAAACGUAGUGUCUCCUUCUUCAUCUGGGAACAAGACCACACUUACAAAGGCUUUUCUAAAGAAAUUAAGAAUAAAGUUCAUCUGCAUUUGUCUGUAAAUACUGGUUACAGUCCUCCACAAUUAAUCAGCUUUUUCCUAGAAGUCUUGCUAAGUACUAAUUAGUAAAACGCUUGUUUUCUCUUGCAAAUGCUGCGCUACAUAAGCUUUUUUCAUCAGGGAUAAAAUAUUACAUUUUAAGCAGGAGUGGAUAUUAUCACUUUAGAAGUGCUUAUAUGCAUUUCCUGUGCUUAGAUACAGCCUAGCAGUAAUAAUACCACAAUUACCAGAAUGUAUAAUCUAUAAUAUAGCACUGAGCAAAUCAGCACGCAGCCAAACGGGCUGCACACAUCCUGCAGGAUACCACUGCCAUUCUGAAUUGCUUCCGGUGAACGCUGUGCAUCUGGAGGAUGAUUUCUGAGCUCUGAGAGACUCCUGGGUUUGUGCUCUGGAAGCCACCUCCUACAAAUAUGCAAUGAGAUCUAAACAUAGAUGUAGACACAGAUUUAGGGGUACAAAGCUAAACCGUGAUUUAUCUGUGUUUGCCUAAAUGAGGAAAAUUCUGACUUAGAGGAAAAAAUUGUUUUGGUGUUUUAAAAAUACAAAUGGGAUUUCUAAUAAGAAUGCAAAAUCAUUGCAAGCAAAACACAAGCAUGAAUGUUCAGGAUUUUCAUUUGAUUGCUAAGUUACCAAAAUAACGCAUAAUUGGCUCCCCUUCCCCCCAAACACACUGGAGAUCUAAAUAUAAAAUCCUAGAUGCUCUCUUUCCUAUAGAAUAGAGCAUAAUUUCCUCUCUGUGUAUGCACCUGCAAGCAAAUAUCUGAAAAUAUACACUUCAAAGUAAUCUUUUUUGAAGUCAGAGAAAAAGCAAACUGGAAACUGAAAUAUGUAAUUUUAAUUGCAACACACGCUGCUGCCAUACACCAACUGCAACCUUACAGGAAAUGCUGGCAGCCUGGCACUGCUACCGGGCUGCCUUGGACAUGAAAUCUGUUCAUUGAACGACCUGCUCAUUCAGCAGCCUUUCCAGGUGUUAAAUUCAAUGCAGACAUUUUAAGAUGCUCAAAACCAUUUUAAAAUAUAAUUUUAAAAUAUGGUCCAUAAAAACAAAAAAAAGGCAGCUGUGUCAUCUGCCAUCUUUUAAAGCUAGGCUCACAAAGCCUCUAGUUCUCUUUCUGCUUUAAAGCAGAGUGACAGGCCAUAUUCCUGAGCAUAUAUAAUUUCCACCAAGUCUUAUAAGACUCCAGAAUUUUAUUUUAAAUUAAUAAUAUGGCAAUUUAGAGAGAAUAUAAGAUGCAAAAACCAAUUAUUUUUCCCUUUCUGAUCCAGGUCUACCAUACUGAAAUGAGAUUUGAGGAGAACAUGACAAUCAAUGCAGUGCUUAUUUGAAAGGGGUUUUUAAAUUAUCCCUUUCUCUUGCUGCAUUUGGUACAAAAUAACACAAUGAAUAAAUGGCUCAAGCUUGAUCUACCCACUGCAGAACACACGGAGAACACUGGUGCUGCUGAUGCACAUACCUGCAGCGUGGCCAGGGCUGGCUGGAGAAUGGAACACGUGUCGGGAGGAGGGAGCUCCUCUGGGAGGCAAGAGUUUGUUAUAAAACAGUGCAGCCAGCCACAUCCACACAAAGGACAUUUUCUAUAAGUUUUAUUGUCCUUUCUGCACAGCGGUUUUAAUUUUUAUAGACAUUUUGUGUUCCCUGUCACUGUCUUUUACUUUCUCUGGUCUGAUCUUGUCUGGAAAGAUGCUCAGAAAAUUCAUCACAUGUACUAAACACAGUUUGGGAUGAUUGCUUUCUUAACAAGGCAGGAGAAAGAGAAGACUACUGCUACAUCCUGCCUGCACACACUAACCCAGCUGCACUCACUAUAGGCCCCUCCAUAGGUACUUCAUACCGCUUCUGAAUCAACUGUGCAUUAUCACAUGUGUGUUGCAAUUUGUCAUAUGUCAGGAUGAAAAAAAUUCAGUUUUGGCUGCAAGGUGCUAUAGACACGUGAAUCCAUGCAAAAUGACUUGGCUGGGGCUGAGGAGAAGCAAUGCUGCUUGUGUUGACUCCUACAGUGCUGCUAAAGCACUACGGACACACAUCUAUUCAUACUCCAGGCUAGAAGAUGGUUUACAGAGUCAGUGCUGAACCUGGCCUGUCCCUGCUCACUCUGGAGCUGCACACAUAGGAUCAAGUCCUCCAAAGCCAUGAAAUAUGGAGGAAAAAAAAUGAUGAGGCUGUGGGGACCAUCAGAGGCAUGGCAGCAUCUGAUGAGGCUGUCACACAGACACAGCCUAGACCUGUACUGGAAGCAAUGCAGCCUCCUCUGUGGGGCACCACACUGGCACUGGGUGGACACACAGCUCUGCAUCUACGCGCAUCUCAUUUCUCAUUCUUCAUUAACUCAUCUACUUAACCCUCCUCAUUUUUGUCCAUGCUUAUGCAUGAAUGAUUUUUGUAAAAAUCCUACACAUUUGUGAUAUCAUUAGAAAUUAAGAUGAUGCUAUGUUUACAGAAUAUUUACUCGUUCUCUAGUGAUGCUCGGGUAGAAUUAUCAGCUUAUAUUUAUUUUAUUUAUUGCUAAUUUUUUAGCAGUGGCACCACCUUGUGGACACUGCUACAUGAAAUGAGAAGCUGCCUAAUGUCAUCAACAGCAACUAAAUCAGUGCAGUUAAUUUUGGGGAAAAAAAGAAAAAAAAUAUCUACUGAAGCAAAGUAAACUACAAAUUUGAUUCCAAAGAAUCAAGGUAUGGAAUAAAACUUACAGUAAAUACUGGCCUGAAUGUACACAGUUGUCUUCUUGGCUCUUUUCUCCUGAGCAUUAGACAAGAAGGGUGGGUGGUAGCUUUCAAAACUAUUUUUGUUCCCUCUUGAGACAGAGCUGAAUUAACUGAACAAAUACACAUAGUUGACAGGCUUCUUUGGGGCUGCUUGCCUGACAUCUCAGGUCACUCUCACCAAUUUAAAAAAAAAAAAAAAAAAAAAAAAAAAGAAGAGGUCUAGCGUUAGAGAAAACAAGCCUGACAACGCAACUACACUGUUUUCUACUCCUAUGGCACCCUUAGUAAAGGAGAUAAAUAAGCACUACUCCCACCUUCCCCUGCAUAGGUUUGGAAGAGGAAGGAUCAGGACAGCUAAGGCACUGCCAUGGCCUCUGAAGAACCUGUUGGCUGAGAAUAAUCCGAUUUAUAUUUACUGCAAGUCUUGUGUUGCAACGAACUCAGUCUAUCAAAUUAUUUCUCAUCUUCUCGAGCAGAUGACAAUGUUGUUCUGUGUCUAUCGUAUUCACUUCCUUGAUUUCCCUUGAAUAAAGAAACCAAUGACCCAUAUGGUAAAAAUAACCCUAUAUGUCCACAAUGGUAUUUUCUCCAGAGAUUUGGAAUUCCCUUUAAUGUCUCAAUUAUCUUUUUUCCUUACAGUCACCCAGCUACCAUGGCACUAUGUCAAAAUAAUUUUCUGCAGGUUUCUGCAAAAACUGAUCUCUUGCCAAAUUAGCACAUCAACUGCAAAAUCAAUUUCCACAGCAUCGCUGACAUUCAGGAAGUCCCCAGAAACCAACAGACGAAUCUCAGUCACCCCUGGACCAAACGCAGGAUGUAUUUGGUCUUCAGAACAACAAAGCACACUAUCAAAAGACACACUAAUAUUGUUAAGAUACUAAGUAUUUGUUCAGCUAACAAAGGUUGCAUAAGCCUCCACAUGUAUUAAAUCCAAUGUUUAAUUUUUUGUAUUAUUGAGAAACGGGUGACUUGGUGCUACGCCAGGCUUGGGUAGAUGGAACAGGCUACACGUUUAUAAAAGGAAAACAGUAGAUGGAGGAACAUUGGCCAGAAGUGCCAAUUUCAAAUGAUAUUCUGACCACCAAAUAACCCCAUCCCACACACAUGAUUACAAUCAGAGCAAAUAUGCUGUGAAAGCAGUAAGACAGGGAAAAUUGGUAAUAGCAGAUGGGAACUUUAACUACUAGUAUUUGACCUUCAGAUGCUACGGAAAUCUAAAGGCUUAUUUUUUGUGUUUUCAAUUCACAAAGUGAAGUGAAAUAUAAAGACUUCGAUUUUUGUGUUCAUCCCCAGCAAAGUUUGAUGCACAAACUGCACCUCUGAUGAUGAUCAGAACACGUUUAUGCAUGGUUCCACAAAAGCCGACUUGGCUGUAUCUAUUGAUAACUAAGAAGCAAGUUGUUUUCUACUGUGUCACUUCCUGAAGUGAAAAAAUAUAUAUAUUCAAAUGCUUUAUAAUUUAUCUUCUAGUUAUUUGUCAAUUUCUUGUUUUCCAGAGUGCCUUUUCUCUUUCUUAGAGGGAAUAUGAAGGGCAAGAAGAUUUCCAAAGAAGGAGGAUCUGGUAAUUCUCAACAGUGUGAGUUAGUUCUCAGCAUCUUCACGAUUGAAAAAAUACAGGCAAACACUCACAUCCCUAUCCAGCUGAUGCAAAAAGUACCUUUCAACAUAAACCCCUUUGUCUAAUAAAAAUACAAGUGAUUUUUGAA